UUUAAUGUGGCAGAAAAGUGCCAUGGGUUUAAACUCCAUUCAUAAAGGACUACCCUUUCAUUAAAA
rnacentral:tRNA from 1 species